rnacentral:rRNA from 1 species
AGCAGCCGCGGUAAUUCCAGCUCCAAUAGCGUAUAUUAAAGUUGUUGCAGUUAAAAAGCUCGUAGUUGAAUUUUAGGCCUGGCCGGGCGGUCCGUCUUUGGCGAGUACUGUUCUGUGUCGGGUCUUACCUUCUGGUGAAACCGGCAUUUUCUGAAGCGAUUGUGCCGGGGAGCCACGGACCAUUACCUUGAAAAAUUAGAGUGUUUAAAGCAGGCAUUUUGCUUGAAUAGAUUAGCAUGGAAUAAUAAAAUAGGACGUUGGUUCUAUUUUGUUGGUCUAGGACCACCGUAAUGAUUAAUAGGGAUAGUUGGGGGCAUUAGUAUUCAAUUGUCAGAGGUGAAAUUCUUGGAUUUAUUGAAGACUAACUAUUGCGAAAGCAUUUGCCAAGGAUGUUUUCAUUAAUCAAGAACGAAAGUUAGGGGAUCGAAGACGAUCAGAUACCGUCGUAGUCUUAACCAUAAACUAUGCCGACUAGGAAUCGGGCGACGUUAUUUUCAUGACUCGCUCGGCGCCUUAUGGG